rnacentral:rRNA from 1 species
AGCGAACGCUGGCGGCAGGCCUAACACAUGCAAGUCGAACGAACCUUUCGGGGUUAGUUGCGGACGGGGGAGGACCACGGGGGAACGUGCCCGUAGGUACCGUACACUUCACGGUAACUUGACUUCAUAACGAAUGUGCUCUUCGCGGGAAAGAUCUAUCGCCGAUAGAACGGCCGGCGACUGUUUAGCCAGUUGGUGAUGGUAAUGCCUCACCACGGCGACGUUCUGUAGCUGGUCCGAGCGGAUGCUCCGCCACGUUGGAACUGAGACACAGACAAAAAUCCUACGGGAGGCAGCGGUGGAGGAUCUAGCGCGAUGGACGAAAGCCUGACGAAGCCAUGCCGCGUGAAUGAUGCAGGUCUUAGGAAUGUGAAGUUCUUUGACAGGAAGCGAUAGUGACGGUACCCGGAGAAGAAGCCCCGGCUAACUUCGUG